UACCAGCACCCCGAGUGGUCGGGACGUUUAUUGGGCGUAAAGAGCUCGUAGGCGGCUCGUCGCGUCGACCGUGAAAACCCGCGGCUUAACCGCGGGCUUGCGGUUGAUACGGGCGGGCUAGAGUUCGGUAGGGGAGACUGGAAUUCCUGGUGUAGCGGUGAAAUGCGCAGAUAUCAGGAGGAACACCGGUGGCGAAGGCGGGUCUCUGGGCCGAUACUGACGCUGAGGAGCGAAAGCGUGGGGAGCGAACAGG
rnacentral:rRNA from 1 species